rnacentral:lncRNA from 1 species
CCGGGCCGCCCCCGCCCCGCUCCGCCCCGGGGCCGUGCCGCCCCACAGCCCGGCCCCAUAAAGAGGCCGAGGAGGGAUGGGGGUGGCCCCUCUGCCCUCCCCCGGUGCGCCCUGCCCCGUGCGCCCUGCCCCGUGCGCCCACCCCGGUGCCCCCGGUGCGCCCUGCCCGGUGCCGGGGAUGCUUCGCCGCCGCGGAGCCUUCAGCGUGGAGCGGCUCCGGGGGCUCGAUGGUCCCUGGGAGACGGCGGAGAGCUGCGUGGUGCGCACGUCCGCCAGCGUCUACCGUCGGCUGCACGAGAGCCCCCGGAGCCCCCCGGUGGGGAUGAGCGGCGAGGAAUCGGGCGCUUGGGGCCCCCCGCAGCCCCGGCCAGCCCCGGGCAGCCCCCAGGCGAGCGGGCGGCUCCUCAAGUCGGAGUCGGAGGACUCCGGGGUGGAGAUGGCGAGCAACGAGAACUCGCCCUCCACCCCGCUGGGCUCCGAGAGCAGCUUCUCCCUCGAUGGCUUCCAGCCAGCCCGCGGGGACCCCCAGAAGAGCCCCCCGGGAGGGGAACGUGGUGCUGAGCCCCCCCGGCCCCUCCGCAGCCGCUCGGCCAGCAGGAAGCCGGGGCAGCAGCGCAGCAGGAGGCAGCGGCAGCUCAGCCGGCGCAGCACCAGCGCUGGGGACCCCCGGGGGCUUGGCGCCGAGGAGCCCGAAGCAGCCGGGGCCGAGGCAGAGGGGGCAAUGCCGGGGCAGGGGCUGCGGUACCUGGAGCACAUCUGCCAGAUGCUGGAGCGCGUGGCGCGGCUGCAGCAGGACAACCGGCUGCUCCGGCAGCAAGCGGCGGGCGCCCGGCGCGCCGGCACCA